rnacentral:rRNA from 1 species
UACGUAGGUGGCAAGCGUUGUCCGGAUUUAUUGGGUUUAAAGGGUGCUUAGGCGGUCUAUUAAGUCAGUGCUGAAAUAUCCCGGCUUAACCGGGAGGGUGGCAUUGAUACUGAUGGACUUGAGUAAAGUUGAGGUAGGCGGAAUUGACGGUGUAGCGGUGAAAUGCUUAGAUAUCGUCAAGAACACCGAUAGUGUAGACAGCUUACUAAGCUUUAACUGACGCUGAGGCACGAAAGUGUGGGGAUCGAACAGG